AUUUCUUCUUUUUCAGGUAAACUCACAGCUUAUCAUCACCGUCCGGAGUGGCGCCAAGUGACGGUACGGUGAACGGUGCUGUUCUUCAAUCGUCGUGCGCAGCUGGUGUGUUUUUUGGAUAGGCUUCAAAUAAACGUUGAUUUUCGGCCCUAACGCACUAAAUUA